rnacentral:lncRNA from 1 species
AGCACCUGCUCUGUCCACACAUUGUAUUUCAUAUUUGCACAGAUAAUACCUCAAUGUAAUCCUUAUAACACCCUUGUGAGGUGUGUCUCAUUUUUCUACUUUUGAAGGCAAGGAAACAAAAUCAAAGGGGUUAAGUAUUUGCCACAGUCUCACUAUUACUACGGGCUAAAAAGGAGAUAAGAAUUAAAGUUGAAUCUGAAGUUGAUAGCUUUCCUACUACAAAAGGUUGUGUCUCAUUCAUUUUGGUAUCCCCAGUGUGGUUCUUUGAACAUAGACUGUGCUCAAUAAAAAUGUGCUUAUUGGGUUAGGUAAUUCACAAAUGUUUUGUGAAUACAAAUGACAAGAUCAUUUGUCUAUGUUUCAGAUCACCUGAAAGGCACCCCAGAAAAUAAAGCAGCAUCAAAGUGACCAAAUAUAUCCUCUAUAGACUGUACAAAUUCAAACUGCCAAAAGAGUAAAAAAGAAAAAGGAAAUAGAGGCAGUGAGCCAGUUUCUAACUUAUCCUUGGGUGAGCUCCAUAAAAACCACAUAUAUUUGUACAUAAGAACAUGCUGUUCUAAUUGACUAUAGCAUCCUGAUACACUACACAGAUGAAACGUAGGAAAUCAAAUGGUACCAGAAGUUUUCUCAAAAGCCCAUUAAAUAGUCUCUCAAAAUAAGCAAGGCACAAGUCUAAUCAUGCUUUCUGUUCACAAAAAUCAAUUGUUUACCAUUUUUAGUAUGAGUGUCUCUUACUUGGGACCUGAAUGAGAAUUAUUCACAAGGAUUAUAUUUUCCCUUCUGAAGAGGAAGAAUUCUGGGCUGCACAAUUUCAACUGGAGCCACAGUUAUAAAUUUUAUAGGUUUCUUGGGGAAGCCCUAAGGUACUUUUCCCUUUUUAAAAAUGUCACUGAACUAAUUUUGAAGUAUCCAGCUCUUCUGUUAAGUGUGUCAAAAUUGAAGUCCGAGAGGGUAGAUUGUCACAUUUCAAAGUGGCCUCAAAUUAAGUUUUCAAAUACUAUUUGGAAUUUUAUAAUGUAGACUCUUAAUAAAAACUGAUUAAUUAGCCAGUGGGCAUAGUUUAAGGAAAUGCUGCAUAAAGACAGUGGAAAAGUCAUUUGAUUUGGGAUCUAAGACCUGGGUUUUAGUCCUAGGUGGUAUAAUCUUUCUCCAUUGUUUUAGUUUUUUUUUUAAUCCCCCAAAGGCAUGAUCCAAAAUAUUUCUUAGAUCUAAAGUUCUAUCAUUCCAUCCAACAUGUAAUGGUCAUGAUUUUCACCGGAUCUUGCAUCAGACAUAAUAAUGGACCUCAAAGAUGUUCAUGUCCUAAUUCCCAGGACAUGUGAGAGGAACUUUGCAGAUGUGAUUAAGUUAAGGAUCUUGAGAAGGGGGGAUUAUCCUGGAUUAUCCAGAUGGGCCUAAUGCAAUCACAAGGGUCCUUACAACAGGAGGGUCACAGUCAGAAAAGGAGAUGUGAAGCACAGGUUGGAGAUAUGUGGCUGCUGGCUUUGAAGAUGGAAGAAGGCCAGGAGCCCAGGAAGGUAGUCUGCCCCUAGAAGCUAGAAAAGGCAAAAGACAAGAUUCUCCCCUAGAGCCUCCAGAAGGAAUAGCCCUGCUGACACCUUGAUUUUAGGGUUUAUGACCUCCAGAACUGUAAGGUAAUAAAAUUGUGUUGUUUCAAGCCACUAAAUUUGUGGUAAUUUUUAGAAGUAGCAACAGGAAACUAAUUCCUGAAUAUGUUUCAAUGUGGCUUAUAUACAGAUUAAUCACAAAAAGAAAAAUCUGGAAAGAUUCUGUUAUCGUUCUUCUAUUUGUCAAUUUGAUACAUUGAAAGGUAAACAUUUUCUGUUGCUAAUGAUUAUGGGGAAUGGUGAGUAAUACUUCAAUUAUUCAAUCUGACAUAAUCAUGAGACAUUCAUGUAAAAGCAAAGUGGAGUAAUGAGAAUAAUAAUCAUGAUCAUGACCAAACACUGAGCACUUACUAUGUGCCAGGUACCAUUGUAGGCACUUAACAUGUGUUAUCGUAUUUGUGGCUUGCUCUGAUUUCAUUGAUUGUCUGUCCCUGCCUUCUCACCUGCUCCACAAAAGCAGCCUUCAACACCAGCAGAUAGAAACCAUGGAGUAGGAAGGCAAGGUAAGAUUAGUCAGGACUAGAUAAUGUUCUUCAAAAAAAAAACAAAAAAAAAACAAAAAAAAACCACUGAGGUUAUUUUUCUUCUACAGUACUUCAGGGAGAAUACCCAAGUUACAACCAUAAAAUAUGAGACAGCCCUCUUAUUGGACUCACUUUAGACAAGUCAGACACUAGUCUACAAUGCAGCUGAUAAUUACUCUUCCAUUUGAGACCCAAACACACAAAUACUUUGUAUGAAAGCCAUGCUUUAUAAGCCAAAAACAGAAAUGUAGACAUAAAUUCCUAAUAUAUCUGCUUACCUGGGGAUUCCUGUGAGAAGGAUUAUAUUAUUACUUAACUGGGGUCCAUUCUAUCAUAGUUUUGAGAAAGGGAGAACACAGCAAUGAGCUAGGUGCUUUCUCACUUAAUUCAAUUACCUAAAAGAGCAAAAUGCCGUAAGUGGAAUUCCAUUAUUGUUAAGAUGAUCAAUUACUAACUUUCUGCAAGGCUAUUCUUUACAAGAGGUAGAUGCCGGAAAACAACCAAAACCCACUAUGAGCAGCAAAAUUGUCAGUUCAUGAAAAUACCACAUUAGUGAUAACAUGAAAAAAUCAUAAAGACCAGCAAAGAUAGACACAACCCAAUUGUAAACACUAAUAUCUGAAUUUAGAAUCAUCUGCAAACAAAAUAUAUCAUCAUUUGUCACAAUGUCCCUGCUUUUGCUCUAUUCUAAUUCAUUGCUCCCCAGCAUCUUUAUGAAUAUGGGCUAUAAAAUACUUUUUUCCAGUAGGAAACAUUAUUCCAAAGACAAAUGACAAAACAUAAUUAACACUAUUUAAGAAAUACUAAAACAACAAUUCUAAACACAUAUUUCCAAUAAUAUUUUUUAAAAUAAGAUCAUAAUUUGUGUGUUUUCCAUAAGAUCAAAAUUUGUGUGUUUUCCCCUAAAGAGAAGGCCUCCUAAAGCAAUGCAAUUGGUCUAGCUGACUAAAUUAGUUUUCUUUCCCCCACGCCCCCAUGAGUUUUCCAGAAGGGUCUGGUAUAAAAGGCAUGCCAAGUAACGAUGAAAUUUAGAUUCCCAUGGCACUGGGUAUGUACUCUCAUUAGUGUGUUUCACAAUGUACCAUCAUUAUUUGUUCCCACGUCUGUCUCCCUUGAAAGACUCAAGGGUAGGAAUGAGUGUCUUCUUGAUUUGUGUUCAUCUUCACAAUACAGAAUAUUUGUUGACUCUAAAGGAGUGGUAUGGGUACUCACUGAGUUUUCUGAAUGAUAAAUUAAUAAAUUGAUUCCAAAGACCUAAAUGUUACCCAAAUCAAGAAAAUGUAUCAGCAAUUUCACUGGCACAGUAAAAUGUUCUAUAUAUACAGUACAGGCUCAGUAAAUAUUGGUUAAAGACCUAAUUAAGAAAUGAUUAUACCAUAUAUUAGUGGUGUUUUGAAUUUUAAAAUAAGUGACACAUAUCAAAUUACAAUCACUUUACAAAACCCAUAACUGUCCAUUAGCCCAUCUGAUGUAUUUUCUCCCUAAUGGAAGACUCAUUGCUAAUAUGGUAUAAAUCAAAUAAUAAAUGGCAAUUUUCUGUUACUAAUGCUCAAAAUCAACCCACCACAGCCUAUCAAUACCUCUACUCAAUACCUCUCCCACUGCUCAUUCACUCACCCACUUAAGCCAACUUGUUCACCAGGGGCCCAGUCUGUAUUUAGAAGCACAAGAAGAACCACCUAAUUGUUAUGUCAUCAUGACUAAGCCACAGUAUGCUGUGAUUAGUUUAGCAUGAGAAGGAAUGAGAUAGAAUCCCAGGAGUCUCAUACAGUCAGUGCAGUCAAAGCAUCUAUGAGUAGGAGGAAGGAAAUGCUAUUGGGGUAGAAGAGGAAGGUGCUUUCAGAGGCUUAAUUAGUUAUUUAGAGAGGUGUGUAGUGUGUGUGUGUGCGUGCAGAAUAUAUAUAUGUGUGUACAUAUAUAUACACACACAUAUGUUUGUGUGUAUAUAUAUAUACCAUCUUUACACUGAUGGAGUGGUCAAGUAGUUUAGCAAAACAUUUUAAGGAGAUGCAUUUGGAAUUCUUUUAGGAAACCAAACUAAAUGAUGCUACAAAGCUUAAGGCAGCUUCUAAAACAGAAAUCCCACUGGGACCAGUUCUAGGAACCUUGCCAGGGUAUAGGAUACAGAAGUUGCUUCAGCAAUAUCAU